AACGAACGCUGGCGGCAGGCCUAACACAUGCAAGUCGAGCGGACCCUUCGGGGUUAGCGGCGGACGGGUGAGUAACGCGUGAGAAUAUGCCCUUCUCUACGGAAUAGUCCUGGGAAACUGGGGGUAAUACCGUAUACGCCCUUGGGGGGAAAGAUUUAUCGGGGAAGGAUUAGCCCGCGUUGGAUUAGGUAGUUGGUGGGGUAAUGGCCUACCAAGCCGACGAUCCAUAGCUGGUUUGAGAGGAUGAUCAGCCACACUGGGACUGAGACACGGCCCAGACUCCUACGGGAGGCAGCAGUGGGGAAUCUUAGACAAUGGGGGCAACCCUGAUCUAGCCAUGCCGCGUGAGUGAUGAAGGCCUUAGGGUUGUAAAGCUCUUUCAGCUGGGAAGAUAAUGACGGUACCAGCAGAAGAAGCCCCGGCUAACUCCGUG
rnacentral:rRNA from 1 species